rnacentral:rRNA from 1 species
UUGGUUAUGCUAAUAAGAGCGUAUGGUGGAUGCCUUGGCACUAAGAGCCGAUGAAAGACGUGAUAAGCUGCGAAAAGCUUCGGGGAGGAGCAAAUAUCCUGAGAUCCGGAGAUAUCUGAAUGGGGAAACCUACUUGAGAAGACCUCAAGUAUCCACAGCCCAAUCCAUAAGCUGUGGAAGGGAACCCGGUGAACUGAAACAUCUAAGUAGCCGGAGGAAGAGAAAACAACAUGUGAUUCCGUAAGUAGCGGCGAGCGAACGCGGAAGAGCCCAAACCGGAGUGCGUGCACUCCGGGGUUCGGACUGCAGGAUUGACGAGUGAGCCUAGUAGAAUGGUUUUGGGAAAGCCAGCCAGAGAGGGUGAAAGCCCCGUACACGAAAGGCGAGCGAGCAUGGCAGGAUCCAGAGUACCACGAGACACGUGAAACCUUGUGGGAAUGAGCGGGGACCACCCCGUAAGGCUAAAUACUCCUUAGUGACCGAUAGCGCAUAGUACUGUGAAGGAAAGGUGAAAAGGACCCCGGGAGGGGAGUGAAAGAGAACCUGAAACCAUAUGUUUACAAGCUGUGGAACAUCUUUAUAUGAUGAACCGCGUACUUUUUGUAGAACGGUCCGGCGAGUUACGCUGGCUGGCGAGGUUAAGGGCUGAAGGCCUGGAGCCGAAGGGAAACCGAGUCUGAACAGGGCGAAAUAGUCAGUCGGAGUAGACCCGAAACCGGGUGAUCUAUCCAUGUCCAGGUUGAAGUUGCCGUAAAAGGCAAUGGAGGACCGAACCCACAUCCGUUGAAAAGGGUGGGGAUGAGGUGUGGAUAGGGGAGAAAUUCCAAUCGAACCCGGAGAUAGCUGGUUCUCCUCGAAAUAGCUUUAGGGCUAGCCUCAUGCAAGUCUUACGGAGGUAGAGCACUGAAUUCCUAAGGGGGCGUCAAAGCUUACCAAGGGAUAUCAAACUCCGAAUGCCGUGUAGAUGGUGCAUGGGAGUCAGACUAUCCGAGAUAAGUUGGGUAGUCAAAAGGGAAAGAGCCCAGACCUACAGCUAAGGUCCCAAAAUGUGUGUUAAGUGGAAAAGGAUGUGGGAUUUCGAAGACAACUAGGAUGUUGGCUUAGAAGCAGCCAUCCAUUAAAAGAGUGCGUAAUAGCUCACUAGUCGAGAGGUCCUGCGCCGAAAAUGUCCGGGGCUGAAACACACUACCGAAGCUUGGGAAUUGACGAAUGUUAAUUGGUAGAGGAGCAUUCUUAACGGGGCGAAGCUGUACCGGAAGGAGCAGUGGACUGUUAAGAAGAGAGAAUGCCGGAAUGAGUAGCGAGAGGAAGGUGAGAAUCCUUCCGGCCGAAUAUCUAAGGUUUCCAGAGUAAAGCUGAUCUGCUCUGGGUAAGUCGGGGCCUAAGGCGAGGUCGAAAGACGUAGUCGAUGGAUAACAGGUAAAGAUUCCUGUACUGUAUCAUAACAGAACUGUGGGGACGCAGACAGAGAGCAUAAGCCGGGAAUGGAAAGACCGGUACAAGCGAGGUAGGAGUGCAUCAGGCAAAUCCGGUGCACAAUCUGAAGACGUGAUGUGGGGCGUAAAGCCGGAAGUAUGUGAGCUGGCUGCCAAGAAAAGCCGCUAUUGUUUAUGAUAUACCCGUACCGUAAACCGACACAGGUGGAUGAGGAGAGAAUCCUAAGGCCGACGGGAGAAGCAUUGUUAAGGAACUCGGCAAAAUGACUCCGUAACUUCGGGAGAAGGAGUGCCAUGUAAAAGUGGCCGCAGAGAAUUGGCCCAAGCAACUGUUUAGCAAAAACACAGGUCUAUGCAAAACCGAAAGGUGAGGUAUAUGGGCUGACGCCUGCCCGGUGCUGGAAGGUUAAGGGGAGAGGUUAGCCGUAAGGCGAAGCUUUGAACUUAAGCCCCAGUAAACGGCGGCC